rnacentral:rRNA from 1 species
AUUGAACGCUGGCGGCAUGCCUUACACAUGCAAGUCGAACGGCAGCACGGGGCAACCUGGUGGCGAGUGGCGAACGGGUGAGUAAUGCAUCGGAACGUACCCGGAAGUGGGGGAUAACGUAGCGAAAGUUACGCUAAUACCGCAUAUUCUGUGCGCAGGAAAGAGGGGGAUCUUCGGACCUCUUGCUUUCGGAGCGGCCGAUGUCAGAUUAGCUAGUUGGUGAGGUAAAGGCUCACCAAGGCGACGAUCUGUAGCGGGUCUGAGAGGAUGAUCCGCCACACUGGGACUGAGACACGGCCCAGACUCCUACGGGAGGCAGCAGUGGGGAAUUUUGGACAAUGGGCGCAAGCCUGAUCCAGCCAUGCCGCGUGAGUGAAGAAGGCCUUCGGGUUGUAAAGCUCUUUCGGCCGGGAAGAAAUCGCGUGAGUUAAUACCUUGCGUGGAUGACGGUACCGGAAUAAGAAGCACCGGCUAACUACGUGCCAGCAGCCGCCGUAACAC